UACGGAGGGGGCUAGCGUUGUUCGGAAUUACUGGGCGUAAAGCGCACGUAGGUGGUUUUCUAAGCCAGCUGUGAAAUCCCCGGGCUCAACCUGGGCACUGCAGUUGAAACUGUCUGGCUAGAGUGUGGGAGAGGGAAGUGGAAUUCCUGGUGUAGCGGUGAAAUGCGUAGAUAUCAGGAGGAACACCGGUGGCGAAGGCGGGUCUCUGGGCAGUAACUGACGCUGAGGAGCGAAAGCGUGGGGAGCGAACAGG
rnacentral:rRNA from 1 species